GGUUGUGGCUCAGUGGUAGCGUGCAUGCCUAAUAUGCAUGAGGCAUUGGGUUCAAUUCUCAGCACCA
rnacentral:tRNA from 1 species